rnacentral:rRNA from 1 species
CCUACGGGAGGCAGCAGUGGGGAAUUUUCCGCAAUGGGCGAAAGCCUGACGGAGCAAGACCGCGUGGGGGAAGAAGGCCUAAUGGUUGUAAACCUCUUUUYUCUAGGAAGAUGAUGACGGUACUAGAGGAAUCAGCCUCGGCUAACUCCGUGCCAGCAGCCGCGGUAAUACGGAGGAGGCAAGCGUUAUCCGGAAUUAUUGGGCGUAAAGCGUCCGUAGGUGGCUGAACAAGUCAGUUGUUAAAGCGUAGGGCUUAACCCUAUAAGGGCGAUUGAAACUGUUUAGCUAGAGUGUGGUAGGGGUUACGGGAAUUCCCAGUGUAGCGGUGAAAUGCGUAGAUAUUGGGAAGAACACCGGUGGCGAAAGCGCGUAACUGGGCCUGCACUGACACUGAGGGACGAAAGCCAGGGGAGCG